rfam:Nicotiana attenuata strain TT chromosome 1, whole genome shotgun sequence.
CUUACAGAGUUCAUUGGCAUUCUGUCCACCUCCAUCUUCAAUUCUCACUUUCCUUUAGAAAUGAAGAUGAACAAGAAAAAGAAAAAGGACAAAAAAAAAAAAGAAGGUUUAAUUAACGUGGAGGUGGGCAUACUGCCAACAGAGCUGUGUUGG